rnacentral:SRP_RNA from 1 species
GCCGGGCCCUGUGGUGAGUGUCUGUAGUCCCAGCUACUCGGGAGGCUGAGGCUGGAGGAUUGCUUGAGCCCAGGAGUUCUGGGCUGCAGAUUGCACUAAUCCAGUCUGGUGUCCGCACUAAGUUCAGCAUCAAUACAGUGACCUCCCGGGAAAGGAGGACCACCAGGAUGCCUAAGCAGGAGUGAACUGGCCCAGGUUGGAAACAGAGUAGGUUAAAACUCCUGUGCUGAUCAGUAGUGAUAUCAGCCUGUGAAUAGUCACUGCACUCCAGCCUGGGCAGCAUAGCAAGACCCCCCCAU